UUCUCUCUACUUACUUACAGUGUGAUUUUAUAUGCACUCGACAUCAAUUCUUUUAGUAAAAUAAUUGUUAAUCAUGUGUAUCUUUUACAAAUGUUUAUUUUAAUUAUAACAUAAUUACCAAUAUUACUAGCAAAAGGAAUUAAAUUAAGUUCUUUUUACGUUUCGAUUUAUUUCAAAUAUACCCCAAUAGUUAAAUUCCGUUAAUAAAUUGUUAGUAAUAAGCGUUAUCUUUAUAAAAUUAUAAUUUUACCUUUUCAAAUAUACCCUUCUAUCAUCACCUAUUUUUUUUAUUUGCCGUUAAAUUAGGAGCACUAAAACUCAAAAAGUAUUUUGAUUGUUUGUCCUUUCAAAUAUACCCUUCUGCUAUUAUUAAUAUUUCUUAUUUGUUCUUAAGUUAAGGGCAAAAGAGAUAUUUUGAUUUUUUUUUUAACUCUGGUAGAUAUUUAACUCACGUUUAACCUAUGUUAAUUUAACGAGGAAUAACUGUAGGAAUAUUUUGAAAUAACGGAGGAACAUUUGAGGGUAUAUUAGAAAGAGAAAAAAAUAAGGAUAAAUAAAAUAUUUUUAAAGUGAUUUUAUUUUUCAUUUUUUAUUAUCAAUUUUAUUAUUUUUUCUUAAAUCAGUGACAAAGUUAAGACUAAAGAAUACUAAAGUAAAUAUUCGAAUAUUCGAUAAAGCUAGAUGUGUAUGAAGUUUUUUGUAUGUAAUAAUUUAACAAAAUAUUAAUGAAAAAGCUAACGAAAAGAGAAAAAUAAAAUCACAGUACACUAAAUUGAUACAUUUUAAAUCACAGGAUACCAAAGUGAGAAAGUGCGAAAUCAUAGCGCGGUAUUUGAAGUUUACUCAAAAGAUUUUAAAG
rnacentral:lncRNA from 1 species